rnacentral:rRNA from 1 species
GUUCAUUUAGAGGAAGUAAAAGUCGUAACAAGGUCUCCGUUGGUGAACCAGCGGAGGGAUCAUUACUCGGAGAGUUGCAAAACUCCCACAAACCAUCGCGAAUCUUACCCGUACGGUUGCCUCGGCGCUGGCGGUCCGGAAAGGCCUUCGGGCCCUCCCGGANCCUCGGGUCUCCCGCUCGCGGGAGGCUGCCCGCCGGAGUGCCGAAACUAAACUCUUGAUAUUUUAUGUCUCUCUGAGUAAACUUUUAAAUAAGUCAAAACUUUCAACAACGGAUCUCUUGGUUCUGGCAUCGAUGAAGAACGCAGCGAAAUGCGAUAAGUAAUGUGAAUUGCAGAAUUCAGUGAAUCAUCGAAUCUUUGAACGCACAUUGCGCUCGCCAGUAUUCUGGCGAGCAUGCCUGUUCGAGCGUCAUUUCAACCAUCAAGCUCUGCUUGCGUUGGGGAUCCGCGGCUGUCCGCGGUCCCUCAAAAUCAGUGGCGGGCUCGCUAGUCACACCGAGCGUAGUAACUCUACAUCGCUAUGGUCGUGCGGCGGGUUCUUGCCGUAAAACCCCCCAUUUCUAAGGUUGACCUCGGAUCAGGUAGGAAUACCCGCUGAACUUAAGCAUAUCAAUAAGCGGAGGGAA